rnacentral:lncRNA from 1 species
GAAAAUAAGCCAAAAUCUAAAUUUAUAAUAUGACCUUGACCUUUGACCUUGACCUUAUUUUCAUUUUUUUGGACCAAGGAUCUCAAAUCAAUAGACCCUAGGCCUCUAUCACUUAUGGUUUACCAGUUAGAAAUGCAUAUUCUUAUAUCAAAUAUAAAAGGGGGGAUAACUCUCAUAUGGAAUCUUUAUACGGCUUCAGUCAAAAUAAAACAGAACAUCCUGAGGAUAUAACGAGCAAUUUGGAAAAAUAAAUUUGUUGGUUUCUUAUAGGGUUGCAAAGCCUUAUAGAUAACAAGAAAAACAGUGUUCGGGGAGAUAACUCUUAUUUGGGAAAGUAUUCGGUUAAGCAGAGUUGGUUUCAAAAGCGUAUAAACUGUUCGAUAUCAUAUUCCAAAAAUCUAAGCAACAUCUUGCGAAACAAAAAAACAGCAAGGAAAAAAAUUAGGCGGAAGAAAAAAAAAAAAAAAAUUAAAAACCAAUUGUUCAGAGAACAAUUGAAGGUCUUUCCACCAGUAAAUAUCUAUUUUGAUAUUAGAAUAUUAAAAAUCAGUCUAAAAUGUCAGUUCCUAUGGCUUUAUGAUGUAAAGAUAUGAAUUUUAAGCAAAGGUCAUAAUCUAGAACGUCAAAUUUACCUAUGACCUUGACCUCAAUUUCAAGGUCACAAACUGAGGAUCUCAAAUCAAAAGACCCUAGGUCUCUAAUAUGUAUGGUUAAUAAGUUAUAUCACUUUACGCAUAAUUUUAGAUAUAAUAGGGGUUAAAACUCCCAGUCAUUGUCUACGCACCCUUUCAACCAAAAUUAUUAUGUUACGACAUGUCGCAACUAACAAUUUAGUAAAAAUAAUUUGUCGAUAUCUUAUAAGGUUUAUGAAAAUGAGUGAAAAUAAGCCAAAAUCAAUAUUUAGAAUAUGACCUUGACCUUUGACCUUGACCUAAUUUUCAUUUUUUGGACCAAGGAUCUCAAAUCAAAAGACCCUAGGUCUCUAUCACUUAUGGUUUUCCAGUUUAAAAUACAUUUCAAAAUUUCAAAUACAAAAGGGGAAAUAACUCUCAUAUGGAAUCUCGAUACGGCUUCAGUCAAAAUAAAACAGAACAUCCUGAGGAUAUAACGAGCAAAUUGGAAAAAUAAAUUUGUCGGUUUCUUAUACGGUUGCGAAGCCUUAGAGAUAACAAGAAAAACAGUGUUCGGGAAGAUAACUCUUAUAUGGUAAAGUAUUCGGUUAAGCAGAGUUGGUUUCAAAAGCGUAUAAACUGUUCGAUAUCAUAUCCCAAAUUUCUAAGCGACAUCUUGCCAAACAAAAAAACAGGAAGGAAAAAAAUUAGGCGGAAGAAAAAAAAAAAAAAAAAAAAUAAUCAGAAGAAAAGCAAUAGGUCUUUCCACGGAAAAGUGGAAAGACCUAAUAAUCAGAAGAAAUCCAAUAGGUCUUUCCACGGAAAAGUGGAAAGACCUAAUUAACAA